CGGGCGCGAGACUGGCGAUCCUCUCCAACGGCUCGCCUGAAAUGCUGGAAGCGGCGGUCAAAUCCGCCGCGCUCGACCA
rnacentral:tRNA from 1 species